GUUUAAAGAAGAAAACAAAAAAGCCACGCUGCUGAACUCUAUGUAAUAUAAACUAGGAGGAGAAAGAUUAGAAUUUGGUGAAGGGGUACAGCAGACUUUUCUGGCUAAAAACUGAAAAGAAAAGAGUCUGAAGAGAAGGGGUGAGGACACCUGAGGCAGGGGAGAAGGAGAGGAGGAGGUGAGAGGGAAGAGCACGUGGUGCAGUGAGGAAUGGAAAGCGGCCCAUCUCCUGGAGGAUCACUCACACUGCUUCAAUCCUCUUCUUUUUGUCUCGGCAACCAAAAAGCAGAAGGCUUAGAGGCUCUCAGCCUCUGGGGUUUUAUGGAUUCAUUCUCAGCUUGGCAGCAAGGGCUGCCCUCGAAUGCAUCUCAGCAGAGACACCAAAUGGCAACAGCUGUCCAUUAACAUCUGUGCGAGAGUUACCUAUUCCUUCCUGUUAGCAGUUCUGUCCCUUAACUAUCAAGCCAGAAAGCAAUCCUACUGUCUUGGAGAGUCCAAGAGGCUGCAGCAGAAGGCCCCUCAUUCGAGAUGCUUACUCAGUGGUGAAAUAAUAAAAUGGUUUGUGCUUGCCGUGGGCCUUUUGCCAAGGGCAGAGUUUCUCUACAGCACUCAAUGACAUAACGCUGCUGCUGUGCUGCCCUUGAAACAAAAACUUCAUGAGAAAAAUCUCUCUGAGCAGAUGAGCCAAGAGAAGUCAAGUUCUGCUUAGCACCGAAGUCUGAUUUAUUUUCUCAGACACUUUCUUAACGCAAUGCAUAUUCUGGGUGUUUUACUGAGAGACUUCACAGUAAAUAAGGCAGAAAUGAAAGCAAAAAUAUAUAUAUAUAUAUAUAAAACAUGAAAGAGUUGUGAAUGAGCACCAAAUUCCUGUGCGUUCUUGAGGAAAAAGGAGAAAAAUUUUAAGCACAUGUAGCCAGCAAGCCCAGGACAUUGUGUAGAGGCACCGUGCCAAUUUUCCUAUGUUUUAAAUGCUCUCUAUAUUGAAAUACGUAACCUGCAUUCCAGACAUAAAGCUACUAAAUGAUGACAUGUAUGGCUAUAGCCUGUUCCACUGCUUUGUGUGUACUUUCUGAACACUGUCAUUUGGGGCUUGCUGUUUGUAUGGGGAAGGAGCUCUUCCACUCCACAGCGCACUCGGAGUGUGCAGAUACGCAUGGGCACGAUGGAAAGCUCUGCUGCAGGAUGUUGGGCCGUCCAGUGAGCCCGUCCCCAAGUGGGCACGAUAUCCACAUUUGCUCCAUGAAACAUCUCUGUUUAAUUUAUUAUGCUAAAGUAGAGAGUGACGUAUUUCAGGGAAACCACUGCUGGCUGUAGAC
rnacentral:lncRNA from 1 species